rnacentral:rRNA from 1 species
CCUACGGGCGGCAGCAGUGGGGAAUAUUGGACAAUGGGCGAAAGCCUGAUCCAGCCAUGCCGCGUGUGUGAAGAAGGCCUUCGGGUUGUAAAGCACUUUCAGUGGGGAAGAAAGCCUUGGGGCUAAUACCCUCGAGGAAGGACAUCACCCACAGAAGAAGCACCGGCUAACUCCGUGCCAGCAGCCGCGGUAAUACGGAGGGUGCGAGCGUUAAUCGGAAUUACUGGGCGUAAAGCGCGCGUAGGCGGUCUGAUAAGCCGGUUGUGAAAGCCCCGGGCUCAACCUGGGAACGGCAUCCGGAACUGUCAGGCUAGAGUGCAGGAGAGGAAGGUAGAAUUCCCGGUGUAGCGGUGAAAUGCGUAGAGAUCGGGAGGAAUACCAGUGGCGAAGGCGGCCUUCUGGACUGACACUGACGCUGAGGUGCGAAAGCGUGGGUAGCAAACAGGAUUAGAUCCCCGGUAGUC